UACGUAGGGUGCAAGCGUUAAUCGGAAUUACUGGGCGUAAAGCGUGCGCAGGCGGUUUUGUAAGUCUGUUGUGAAAUCCCCGGGCUCAACCUGGGAAUUGCAUUGGAGACUGCAAGGCUAGAAUCUGGCAGAGGGGGGUAGAAUUCCACGUGUAGCAGUGAAAUGCGUAGAGAUGUGGAGGAACACCGAUGGCGAAGGCAGCCCCCUGGGUCAAGAUUGACGCUCAUGCACGAAAGCGUGGGGAGCAAACAGG
rnacentral:rRNA from 1 species